GGUUUGAGGCAGAGAAUCGCAGUGCCUGUAAAACCUCAUUUACCAACAUCUCAGAAAAAUUGCCAUAUAGCAUUUUGGUAUGAAACUCUUCAUAUAGUUCUGGUUGGAGAAUGUGCAUUUCCCUGAUAUGUCCACAUCAUACUCAUUUAGUAUAAGUAUGUAUUAAUUUAGUUACUAGACGUUAUCUCAAAGAGGUAUUCACAAACUGGCACCAUGUCUUUACCCCUUCCCUCCUUACUUGUGAUUUAUACUGGCAACCCUUUGGUCCAUUUAGCUGCAGUUACCUAGUUUCUUCCCACUCCUAUAAGGUCACAGUAGGUUAACAGAGUAUUACUGAUAUACAGGAUGGCAGAUUGCAGUUGUCCUUAUUCAAUCUUGUUCUGAUGGCAGCUCUGCCUCGAGGGCAGAAACAAAUGUGAAUGGUUUAUUUAAGCGAGAAAUGUGAAGGGUUAAGUUUAGACAUGUAAUCCCAAUUGUUUAAGGUUAGGGGUGAGGUUAAGGUGAGGUUCAAAGAUCAUUGAUAACUGCCUGUACCUGUUCAAAGACUGCAGACUGCGGGCCUAACUUCCCGUUCCUGUUCAAAGACUGCAGGCCUAACUUCCCGUACCUGUUCAAAGACUGCAGACUGCAGGCCUAACUGGAUGCAUGUGUUCAAAGAAGGUUAGGUAGAUAUUCUGUACUGGACGUGUACUGAGCGUGUCUCCUCAGUAUAGUCAUCGUGAGGUCUGUCUUCAGGCUAUAGCGCUGUUUAGGCGAGUCCAGUUGAUUGAUAACACAUUGUGAUGGAUCACACUGGGAUCUUUUAGGAAAGGGUUUUGAUUCCAAUUCCAUCUUGCCUAAAAGAUACCCCACCUUACACUCUGCACAUGCGCACACGGACGCACACACAGGCACGCAUGCACACGCACACACACACUUUUUAAAGAUGCGUCGGAGGGUGACGACCUUAACAGAGACACCUCCGGAAUGUUUUUCAGAGUGUGUGUAGUCGCGUCUGGAUUGGUUCAACCUGCCAUCCCUUUGCCCACUUUUUCAUUCAGUGCUGAAUCGCAGCUCUGUCUCAACUCGGAAAUAAGUCUCAGUGAAUGUCAUCUGACAAUUCUUGUUCCCUGGCCGGACUUCAAUCAAAUGAUGACGCUAACUGGAGAAAGAAGACAGUGCGUCUGCAUGCCACACCAUCAGAAAUAGCUGGUUUGCAUGUUUUCCCCUCACAUACUUCUCCUUGGGGAAAUCAACGGUGGAUUUGCGUCUGCGAAUCUGCUGCCGCUAGAUUUCUAAUCUAAUUUCACGCAGAAUGUAAUUUGUUGUGGUAGUUGCUAUUGUCGACCGACACCAUGCUGUCUAGGUCAGAUUUUUUAUAAUUUUUUUUGCUUGCAUUUCAUAUCUCUAUGAUUUAUCAGUCAAUUACAGAUGCUAUCUGACUGAAAAAGUGGACCCUAAGAUAAACAAAAUCCUAGAAGCAAAAAUAGCAGCUUAUUGGAUUUGUUUAUGAAAGGGACUAUUUGUUGGUUUAUAAGGAGACACAUUGACACACCAUUCCUACAACUACUAGCCUGGUCCCAGAUCUCUGUGCUCUUCUGACUCUUCUCCUAUGACAAGACAGCACAAACAGAUCUGGAGCCAGGCUUUACAACUACUGCUAGCCCACCAUCACCACUAGGCUACUGACUUUUGGCUUCUGCAUUAUCUCAAGAUGGCUCCCUCAGGAGAUACACAGAGUGAAGUGCUCCUGCUGUCUUUGUGAGAGAAACAGUGGAAUGUUUACGCAGCAGAAAAUCAUAUCACACAUCUCAUACUAGGAGGAUGUUUUGCAGCUUGGAGAAAUGAAAAUAGCCAUCAUCUGAUCUCCUUGUCAGGAGAGGAAAACAUUCCAAUCGGAUUCCAUCUGUGAGGACACGGCCGCUGGAGGAUUGUGACGCACGAGGUGCAAUGGAGACGCCGGGGUUGGGCGCACUCAGCUCCUGCUCAGCUGCAGUACCACAGACACCACUAGAACACGCAGCGACUCAAAACAAUAGAAAAUGUCAAUUGUUUGUGUAAAUAAAUGUUUAAACACAA